rnacentral:rRNA from 1 species
UACGGAGGGUGCGAGCGUUGUCCGGAAUCACUGGGCGUAAAGGGCGCGUAGGCGGCCUGAUAAGUAGGGGGUGAAAUCUUGCGGCUUAACCGCAAGGCUGCCUUCUAAACUGUCGGGCUAGAGCACAGUAGAGGAGAGUGGAAUUCCCGGUGUAGUGGUGAUAUGCGUAGAUAUCGGGAGGAACACCAGUGGCGAAGGCGGCUCUCUGGGCUCUACCUGACGCUGAGACGCGAAAGCGUGGGGAGCGAACCGG